CCCAGACUCCUACGGGAGGCAGCAGUGGGGGAUAUUGCACAAUGGGGGGAACCCUGAUGCAGCGACGCCGCGUGGGUGAAGAAGUAUUUCGGUAUGUAAAGCCCUAUCGGCAGGGAAGAAAUUGGACGGUACCUGACUAAGAAGCCCUGGCUAACUACGUGCCAGCAGCCGCGGUAAUACGUAGGGGGCAGGCGUUAUCCGGAUUCACUGGGUGUAAAGGGAGCGUAGACGGCCAUGCAAGCCUGGAGUGAAAGCCCGGGGCCCAACCCCGGGACUGCUCUGGGAACUGUGCGGCUGGAGUGCGGGAGGGGCAGGCGGAAUUCCUGGUGUAGCGGUGAAAUGCGUAGAUAUCAGGAGGAACACCGGCGGCGAAGGCGGCCUGCUGGACCGCGACUGACGUUGAGGCUCGAAAGCGUGGGGAGCAAACAGGAUUAGAUACCCUAGUA
rnacentral:rRNA from 1 species